rnacentral:misc_RNA from 1 species
AAGUCGUAACAAGGUUUCCGUAGGUGAACCUGCGGAAGGAUCAUUAUCACUUUAUGUCCCUAAACGAACCGUGAACUGCAUGCUCCUCAUAAGGCUCUUUGUGGUCUGUGAGUUAGAGCAACCCCACUCUAGUGGGAGUAAACUCUGGAGAGGAGAGCUGGUAAUAGCAGGUACGGCCUCAUUGCCGGUUCUUCCUUUUCUUAGUCUCUCAUUAUUGUUGGGUUUUGUUUUUAACUAUUAACCAAUUGAACCCUUUUAUAUUUUGAUUUUUUUGACUGAAUUGUUUCUUACCCUUCAUUGGGAAGAAAUCAUUUAUUAAACAAAAGUACAACUCUUAGCAACGGAUAUCUUGGCUCUCGUAACGAUGAAGUAGCAGC